UGGGGAAUUUUGGACAAUGGGCGCAAGCCUGAUCCAGCCAUGCCGCGUGCAGGAUGAAGGCCCUCGGGUUGUAAACUGCUUUUGUACGGAACGAAAAGCCUCUUUCUAAUAAAGAGGGGUGAUGACGGUACCGUAAGAAUAAGCACCGGCUAACUACGUGCCAGCAGCCGCGGUAAUACGUAGGGUGCGAGCGUUAAUCGGAAUUACUGGGCGUAAAGCGUGCGCAGGCGGUCUUGCAAGACAGUGGUGAAAUCCCCGGGCUCAACCUGGGAACUGCCAUUGUGACUGCAAGGCUGGAGUACGGCAGAGGGGGAUGGAAUUCCGCGUGUAGCAGUGAAAUGCGUAGAUAUGCGGAGGAACACCAAUGGCGAAGGCAGUCCCCUGGGCCUGUACUGACGCUCAUGCACGAAAGCGUGGGGACCAAACA
rnacentral:rRNA from 1 species